rnacentral:rRNA from 1 species
GAUGAACGCUGGUGGCGUGCCUAAUACAUGCAAGUCGAGCGAACGGACGAGAAGCUUGCUUCUCUGAUGUUAGCGGCGGACGGGUGAGUAACACGUGGAUAACCUACCUAUAAGACUGGGAUAACUUCGGGAAACCGGAGCUAAUACCGGAUAAUAUUUUGAACCGCAUGGUUCAAAAGUGAAAGACGGUCUUGCUGUCUCUUAUAGAUGGAUCCGCGCUGCAUUAGCUAGUUGGUAAGGUAACGGCUUACCAAGGCAACGAUGCAUAGCCGACCUGAGAGGGUGAUCGGCCACACUGGAACUGAGACACGGUCCAGACUCCUACGGGAGGCAGCAGUAGGGAAUCUUCCGCAAUGGGCGAAAGCCUGACGGAGCAACGCCGCGUGAGUGAUGAAGGUCUUCGGAUCGUAAAACUCUGUUAUUAGGGAAGAACAUAUGUGUAAGUAACUGUGCACAUCUUGACGGUACCUAAUCAGAAAGCCACGGCUAACUACGUG